GAUGAACGCUAGCUACAGGCUUAACACAUGCAAGUCGAGGGGAAACGAUAUUGGAAGCUUGCUUUUUCUAGGCGUCGACCGGCGCACGGGUGAGUAACGCGUAUCCAACCUGCCCACCACUUGGGGAUAACCUUGCGAAAGUAAGACUAAUACCCAAUGACGUCUCUAGAAGACAUCUGAAAGAGAUUAAAGAUUUAUCGGUGAUGGAUGGGGAUGCGUCUGAUUAGCUUGUUGGCGGGGUAACGGCCCACCAAGGCGACGAUCAGUAGGGGUUCUGAGAGGAAGGUCCCCCCACAUUGGAACUGAGACACGGUCCAAACUCCUACGGGAGGCAGCAGUGAGGAAUAUUGGUCAAUGGACGAGAGUCUGAACCAGCCAAGUAGCGUGCAGGAUGACGGCCCUAUGGGUUGUAAACUGCUUUUAUAAGGGAAUAAAGUGGGAGUCGUGACUCUUUUUGCAUGUACCUUAUGAAUAAGGACCGGCUAAUUCCGUGCCAGCAGCCGCGGU
rnacentral:rRNA from 1 species